rnacentral:rRNA from 1 species
GGAUCAGUACGCUGGUCAUGCCUUUGGUAUGCACUGGUGGCACUGGUUUCUCCCUUCUGAAGAACCGUGAUGUCAUUAAUUUGGUGUCGCGGGGAAUCAGGACUGUUACCUUGAAAAAUUAGAGUGUUUAAAGCAGGCUCACGCUCGAAUACAUUAGCAUGGAAUAAUGAAAUAGGACGUUUGACCCUAUUUUGUUGGUUUCUAGGAUCGACGUAAUGAU